GGCUGGAACAAUGGAAGCCCUAUGCCCAGAAGAGGCUGCGGGGACCCCAGACUGAAGGCCUAAAGAUGGGGGAGCACCGUUUUCCCUCCCAGAAGGCAGGUCACCCCACUUUUGGAGCUUCCCAAUAAGGUGAGAGACAGAAAGAGGAGAGACACCUGCAGCGCUGCCCUGCUGCUCGUGAAGUUUCUGCUCUACAGAUGUGGAUGAGCUUAUGUAGCAGAGGGUCCAGAUGCCAAUGAACUUUCCCCUACCUCAACGCAACCUCAACAUG